rnacentral:rRNA from 1 species
GUCGAACGCUGGCGGCGUGCCUAAUACAUGCAAGUCGACCUUAGUGGCGAACGGGUUAGUGGCACGUGGGUAAUCUGCCCAUCAGAAUGGGAUAACACUUGGAAACAGGCGCUAAUACCGUAUAUUGAUGGAGCGAGCCGGUGUGCAUUAGCUAGUGGGUGAGGUAACGGCGCACCAAGGCCACGAUGCGGAGCCGAUCUGAGAGGGUGAUCGGCCAAAUUGGGACUGAGACACGGCCCAAACACCUACGGGAGGCAGCAGUGGGGAAUUUUCGGCAAUGGACGAAAGUCUGACCGAGCAACGCCGCGUGAGUGAAGAAGGUUUUCGGAUCGUAAAACACUGUUGUUAGGGAAGCGGUAUCUAACGAGUAAGCCACGGCUAACUACGUGCCAGCAGCCGCGGUAAUUC